ACGCUAGAGGCCAACCAUAACACAUCAUUUUCAGUCAAAGAUAGCUGCCGCACACAUCCAGAGACACCAAAAACCUAUUAUUGUCUUGUUCUCUUCUCUCUUUUGUGCAAUAAUUAGUCUCACCAUGCAUGAUUGCAAAUUUGCAGUGUAACAACAAAACAAAACAAAAAACCCCAAUAAUCCGUGAAGCUUUUACAUAUUUUCUUCAUGAAACAUCAUCACAUCCUUGUUUUCAAGCAACAUAGGAGCCAAAACAAAUUUAUUGGUUUAAGGAUUUCUGAGGCUUGGUCGUGUGGAGAGCAAUUGUGGACUUUGGUUCUUGAAGAUCAAAGAUUAUUGCUUUUCAUGAAGGAAGUAGGAAUGCCUCCUUCCAGAUAAGAAGGGAAGCAGUGUCCUAAAUCUUUUAUGUAUGAAAGCUCAUGAUAAUUUCUGAGUUCUAACUUGAAGACCGGCCACAUGACAAACCACAAAAAGAAAAGAGAAAAAAGAGAGAUAUUAUAACUUCCCAUAUGAAAUUGUUAUGGCAAAGACUUGCUCAUCGAGCUGCAACAAUUCAACUUUAAGUAAAAA